rnacentral:rRNA from 1 species
GGCCUGGUUGGGUGGUCUUGCCGCAAGGUAAGCACUGCUCCGAUCGGGUCUUUCCUUCUGGGGAACCAGCGUGCUCUUAAUUGGGUGCGUUGGGGAUCCAGGACUUUUACUUUGAAAAAAUUAGAGUGUUUAAAGCAGGCCUACGCUUGAAUACAUUAGCAUGGAAUAAUAGAAUAGGAC